rnacentral:rRNA from 1 species
UACGAAGGGGGCUAGCGUUGCUCGGAAUUACUGGGCGUAAAGGGCGCGUAGGCGGAUAGUUCAGUCGGGGGUGAAAGCCCGGGGCUCAACCUCGGAACUGCCUUCGAUACUGGCUAUCUUGAGUACGGGAGAGGUGUGUGGAACUCCGAGUGUAGAAGUGAAAUUCGUAGAUAUUCGGAAGAACACCAGUGGCGAAGGCGACACACUGGCCCGUUAACUGACGCUGAGGCGCGAAAGCGUGGGGAGCAAACAGGA